rnacentral:rRNA from 1 species
GUCGAAGUCUAAAGAAGUGGCAAGGUCAGCUGAACGCUCGAAUUUUAAAGGGGAAAAUCGAUCGUCCCGCCUCCUUAGACUGUAUAUAUAGCCGCUAGCUAGCUAGCUUGCAGGAUUACCGCCUCUAGCAUCGAAGGCGCCAGCAGUCGCUCUGCGACUCGUCCCAGAGGAGGAAGGAGUAGCUGUUCAUGGCGCUGGCCUCUAGUUGGUCUCUCUGCUGCUGUGCCUCUCCGACCUCUACCGCGUGUAGUCCUACCUCCGGCGCGACCUCCGCAGGCCGUUCACCGGUGGCCGGUGCCUGCAGGGCGAGGAUGCGACCGCCUUGUUCGACUUCGCGCGGCGGCUGCUCACGCUGCGGCAGGAGGCGGCUACGUUCGCGCCGUGGCAACUUCUGGUUCCCUGUUCCGUCACGGGGAGGAAGGGUCGUGCCUAGCGAGUGCGGUGCUCUAGGAAGAAGAGGAGCUGGAGCAGGAGGGGGAGACCGGUGUUGCUGCCGCUCGGCAGCUAACUGACGAGCCUUCGGCAGCAGGCCUCCAUGCUCUCCAAGCGCCUGCCGCGGUCGCUCAAGGACUCCAAGAACCUCGUGCCGUCGCACGCGGCGGUCUACAACUAGGAGCUAGGGGAGCGCCCCGUGGAGGAGCGCCCGUCUCGAAAGGUCAUGCUCCAGAGAGUCCCUUCGGCCGCGAUGAUGAAGCGCCCCGCCGGCUACUCAAGAGAUCUCGCUCCUAAUCUCCCGCCCCACGACGAGGCCACGGCACUGGUGCUCCGCGGCCUCGUGUUGAAGCACGAGCCUUAAGACUACGCGGAGUGCCUUUCGUGCCUGUACCGGCGCCAGCACCGGCUCACGAACCCCAGCGCCAACGAGCGGGGAGUGGACUUCGGGCAGCGGCUACGGCGGUGCGUUCUCGAGCUGGCCCACGUGUGGGCCCCGUACAUAACGAUGGGCAAAGAACGAAGAUGACUAGGCCACAUAACCUUGUAAGUGAACAGUCUCUGAGCUGCCCGAGCGGGUCUCGGUGACACGACGUUUCCUCCUGUGCUGGUGUUUUUGAGGUACUGCUCUAACGGUCCGCGUAAAGGUCUCGGCCACUAGUUUAACAAGCACGUCGCGGUACAGAGCCGUUCCCUCUCCUCCGUCUCGUCCUCCUCCUUCUUCCUCUUCUAUAGAGACAGCCGACAACAACCAUUACCGGACGUCGAAUGUUGGCAGAAGCGCGGUGUGCGCAGGUGCCUCCUCGACGGAAGGCCUCAGCUCUCGUAGCGCCAGCUCCACCAGCUGCCCUCGGCCCUACUCGUCCAGAAAAAAAACUUUCCCCCUACUCGUCCAGAACGUACUUUUGCAACCCAACGUAGUCGACCUUCUCAACGACGACGGCCCGCGCUGAUCCGCAGAGACGGUGCCCCGACGUCGGCGUGUUAAUAGCGUCGGCCGCGCACUCCACAAGACCUCCAGACCUGUACCGCACCGGAUGGAAACGCAGCUCUUCAGGCCGUGGCUGUACCGCUACACGUCCCGUUGGGUCACCGUCAAAACUUCUACCGAAAGAACUUGUUGUCGUAAUUCUGAACUAUAACAUGGGGAAACGUAAGUGGCUUACAACACCUUUUAUCGAACUUGUUGGCGGUAAGUCAAAUAACCUUACCAUAUUCUCGUAGAAGUCGGCAAGCCAGGGGGUCCCGCGGAUUUUCCUCG